GCAGGAGUGCUGGAACUGGCAGACAGGCUAGACUAAGGAUCUAGUGGUGGUUACACCGUGUGGGUUCAAGUCCCAUCUCCUGCA
rnacentral:tRNA from 1 species